AUCCAGCUGACGAGUCCCAAAUGGGAUGAGACGCGCGAACUGGAU
rnacentral:hammerhead_ribozyme from 1 species